ACGAACACUGUGAGUAGCACCAUGAGCUGGGAGGGAAACUAGGGUUUUGGGAAGCAGAAGACAGAGAAGUAGGAAGAAGACGAAGAAAGGAAAGUGGAAAAGAAAGAGAUGACAAAGAGAGAGAGGUAAAAGAGUUGAGAAAUGAUUGGUUGCCAUCAAAAUGACGUGUUACGACUUGAUGAUUCGAAGUUGUGGCAGAUCCCACUAGUACGCGAAAUGCAGAGAAGUGUGCUGCAUUGCUUCCAAUAUCCUCUUUCGUAUAAUUUUCUUUUGUAAUUUAUUUUAUUUUUUUUCUUUCUUUAUAUUUUAUUUUAGUCAAUUAAAUUUA
rnacentral:lncRNA from 1 species